rnacentral:misc_RNA from 1 species
GAUGAAGAACGUAGCGAAAUGCGAUAAGUAGUGUGAAUUGCAGAAUUCAGCGAAUCAUCGAAUCUUUGAACGCACAUUGCGCCCUUUGGUAUUCCAAAGGGCAUGCCUGUUCGAGCGUCAUUUGUACCCUCAAGCUUUGCUUGGUGUUGGGCGUCUUGUCUCUAGCUUUGCUGGAGACUCGCCUUAAAGUAAUUGGCAGCCGGCCUACUGGUUUCGGAGCGCAGCACAAGUCGCACUCUCUAUCAGCAAAGGUCUAGCAUCCAUUAAGCCUUUUUUUCAACUUUUGACCUCGGAUCAGGUAGGGAUACCCGCUGAACUUAAGCAUAUCAAUAAGCGGAGGA